UGCAUUCACUACUGUAAGUCGCUCUAGAUAAGAGCAUCUGCUAAAUGACUAAAA
rfam:Salmo salar isolate Sally breed double haploid chromosome ssa23, whole genome shotgun sequence.